rnacentral:lncRNA from 1 species
CUAGCGCCCUGGGAGGCACAGCAGCCUCCAGCAGUUCUGUCAGGGAGCUGUACGCAUCCACCUUUAUACGCUGUCCGUGUAUUCAGAGACUCCAGAAACGCAUCCGGGGUUGGCUCGGUCACUUACAGGACCAUUGUCGUUGAGAUCUGUGAGGCCCUUCUUUAGGAAAUCCCAUUUUGGCCAAAAAGUCUCUGCAGUUUCAUGGAAUGUAUUGGGAAACUUAGGAACGGGACAUUUCGAUGACCUUUACUUUUUAAACUUCGAAAUCUGUUAAUCCUGCCUCCUUAAUUUCUGUCCCCCCACCCCAUCGGAAUUGUGUAGUAGUAAGGUGUCGGCAUUUUUCCUUAUCGCUAAGCUCAGCUGCUGCCUCUUUAGAUGCAGGCUUGACUUCGGCAGACUUUUAGAUUUUAAGUAUGUCCUUAUUUUGACCUUCACCUAAAGUUGAUCAAAGAAAGGAACAAAUGGAACUAAGUUAUGUUUGCUUGGCUACAUGCAAAGCAAGUUUGUUGACAGCAUUAAAACAAUUGAGAAAUUGGGAGUGUGACCUGAAAUUGGUUGCAAUGAACAUUGCUUUUUCAUGUCUUCCCAUCUGCUUGCUAAGAAUUU